rnacentral:rRNA from 1 species
CCGCACGCGCGCUACACUGACAGAGCCAGCGAGUACAGUUACCUUAUCCGAAAGGAUUGGGUAAUCUUGUNAAAGUGUGUCGUGAUGGGGAUAGAUCAUUGCAAUUAUUGAUCUUCAACGAGGAAUUCCUAGUAAGCGCAAGUCAUCAGCUUGCGUUGAUUACGU